rnacentral:rRNA from 1 species
GAACGCUGGCGGCAGGCCUAACACAUGCAAGUCGAGCGCACCUUCGGGUGAGCGGCGGACGGGUUAGUAACGCGUGGGAACGUACCCUUUUCUACGGAAUAGCCAUUGGAAACGAUGAGUAAUACCGUAUACGCCCUUCGGGGGAAAGAUUUAUCGGAGAAGGAUCGGCCCGCGUUAGAUUAGAUAGUUGGUGGGGUAAUGGCCUACCAAGUCUACGAUCUAUAGCUGGUUUUAGAGGAUGAUCAGCAACACUGGGACUGAGACACGGCCCAGACUCCUACGGGAGGCAGCAGUGGGGAAUCUUAGACAAUGGGCGCAAGCCUGAUCUAGCCAUGCCGCGUGAGUGAUGAAGGCCUUAGGGUCGUAAAGCUCUUUCGCCAGGGAUGAUAAUGACAGUACCUGGUAAAGAAACCCCGGCUAACUCCGUGCCAGCAGCCGCGGUAAUACGGAGGGGGUUAGCGUUGUUCGGAAUUACUGGGCGUAAAGCGUACGUAGGCGGAUUAGAAAGUUAGGGGUGAAAUCCCAGGGCUCAACCCUGGAACUGCCUCUAAAACUACUAGUCUAGAGUUCGAGAGAGGUGAGUGGAACUCCGAGUGUAGAGGUGAAAUUCGUAGAUAUUCGGAAGAACACCAGUGGCGAAGGCGGCUCACUGGCUCGAUACUGACGCUGAGGUACGAAAGUGUGGGGAGCAAACAGGAUUAGAUACCCUGGUAGUCCACACCGUAAACGAUGAAUGCCAGUCGUCGGGUAGCAUGCUAUUCGGUGACNCACCUAACGGAUAAGCAUUCCGCCUGGGGAGU